rnacentral:rRNA from 1 species
AUGGAGGACCGAACGAGUAAACGUUGAAAAGUUUUUCGAUGAACUGAGGGUAGGGGUGAAAGGCCAAUCAAACUGGGAAAUAGCUCGUACUCCCCGAAAUGCAUUUAGGUGCAGCCUCAAGACUGAGUUUUACAGAGGUAGAGCUACUGAUAGGACGCGAGGGCUUCACCGCCUAUCAACUCCUGACAAACUCCGAAUGCUGUAAAAUGAUUAAUAGGAGUGAGGGCAUGGGUGCUAAGGUCCGUGUCCGAGAGGGAAAGAACCCAGACCAUCAGCUAAGGUCCCCAAAUGUAUGCUAAGUUGAACAAACGCGGUAUGGUUGCACAGACAGCUAGGAUGUUGGCUUGGAAGCAGCCAUUCAUUUAAAGAGUGCGUAACAGCUCACUAGUCGAGCGACCGUGCAUGGAUAAUAAUCGGGCAUAAGCAUACUACCGAAGCUAUGGAUUGUUAAUUUAUUAACAGUGGUAGGGGAGCAUUCCAAACCUGCGCCGAAGCAGUACUGUGAGGUAUUGUGGAGCGUUUGGAAAAGCAAAUGUAGGCAUAAGUAACGAUAAUGAGAGUGAGAAACUCUCACGCCGAAAGACCAAGGUUUCCUGAUCAACGCUAAUCGGAUCAGGGUUAGUCGGGACCUAACGCGAACCCGAAAGGGGUAGUGGAUGGCAAACAGGUUAAUAUUCCUGUACCCGUUAUACACAAAAAGUGACGGAUGAGUGAGGUAUCUGAGUGCUGACGGAAUAGCACCCUGAGCCUAGGCUUCGGCCGAAGCGAAGAUAAGCAACUUGUCCCAAGAAAAGCGAGUAUAACGGCUCGUACCGUAAACGGACACACGUAGUUGGGUUGAGUAUACUAAGGCGCUCGAGUGAUUCACGGCUAAGGAACUCGGCAAAUUGACCCUGUAACUUCGGGAUAAAGGGAUCCCAUUCAGCGAUGGAUGGGACGCAGAGAAAUGGCCCAGGCGACUGUUUAUCAAAAACACAUGGCUUUGCUAAAUCGAAAGAUGAUGUAUAAGGCCUGACACCUGCCCGGUGCUGGAAGGUUAAGAGGAGAUGUUAGGGGUAACCCGAAGCGUUGAAUUGAAGCCCCAGUAAACGGCGGCCGUAACUAUAACGGUCCUAAGGUAGCGAAAUUCCUUGUCGGGUAAGUUCCGACCUGCACGAAUGGUGUAACGAUCUGGGCACUGUCUCAGCCACGAGCUCGGUGAAAUUGUAGUUCCGGUGAAGAUGCCGGAUACCCGCAACGGGACGGAAAGACCCCGUGAACCUUUACUAUAACUUAGCAUUGAUUUUGGGUAAGUGAUGUGUAGGAUAGGUCGGAGACAAUGAAGCGGUUUCGCCAGGAAUCGUGGAGUCAUCCUUGAAAUACGACCCUUUGUUUAUCUGGAACCUAACUCCCUGAAAAGGGAAGACAUUGCUUGGUGGGUAGUUUGACUGGGGUGGUCGCCUCCAAAAGAGUAACGGAGGCUCCUCAAGGUGCCCUCAGCACGAUUGGUAACCGUGCGCAGAGUGUAAUGGCAUAAGGGCGCUUGACUGUGAGACUGACAAGUCGAUCAGGUAGGAAACUAGAGCAUAGUGAUCCGGUGGUUCCGCAUGGAAGGGCCAUCGCUCAAAGGAUAAAAGGUACUCCGGGGAUAACAGGCUGAUCGCCGCCAAGAGCUCAUAUCGACGCGGCGGUUUGGCACCUCGAUGUCGGCUCGUCACAUCCUGGGGCUGGAGAAGGUCCCAAGGGUUGGGCUGUUCGCCCAUUAAAGUGGCACGCGAGCUGGGUUCAGAACGUCGUGAGACAGUUCGGUCCCUAU